UACGUAGGGGGCAAGCGUUGUCCGGAAUUACUGGGCGUAAAGCGCACGUAGGCGGAUUUGUAAGUCAGGGGUGAAAUCCCGGGGCUCAACCUCGGAACUGCCUUUGAUACUGCAAAUCUCGAGUCCGGAAGAGGUGAGUGGAAUUCCUAGUGUAGAGGUGAAAUUCGUAGAUAUUAGGAAGAACACCAGUGGCGAAGGCGGCUCACUGGUCCGGUACUGACGCUGAGGUGCGAAAGCGUGGGGAGCAAACAGGG
rnacentral:rRNA from 1 species